rnacentral:rRNA from 1 species
UCGGGAAUAUUGGGCAAUGGGCGAAAGCCUGACCCAGCAACGCCGCGUGAAGGAUGAAGGCCCUCGGGUCGUAAACUUCUGUCGAGAGGGAAGAACGCGUGCGGGUGAAUAAUCCGUACGUCUGACGGUACCUCCAAAGGAAGCACCGGCUAACUCCGUGCCAGCAGCCGCGGUAAUACGGAGGGUGCAAGCGUUGUUCGGAUUUAUUGGGCGUAAAGCGAGUGUAGGCGGCUUGACAAGUCGGAUGUGAAAUCCCGGGGCCCAACCCCGGAACUGCACCCGAUACUGUCAGGCUAGAGUCCCGGAGAGGGUGGCGGAAUUCCCGGUGUAGGGGUGAAAUCCGUAGAUAUCGGGAGGAACACCAGUGGCGAAGGCGGCCACCUGGACGGUGACUGACGCUGAGACUCGAAAGCGUGGGUAGCAAACAGG